GUACACACCGCCCGUCGCUGCCYGGAACUGAGCCAUUUCGGGAAAAAUGGGGACUGAYUGCUUGUGAGCACGCAAGUGCUUCUUGCAGUCGGAAACCAUCUUGAUCGGUAUGGCUUGAACCGGGCAAAAGUCGUAACAAGGUUUCCGUAGGUGAACCUGCAGAAGGAUCA
rnacentral:rRNA from 1 species